rnacentral:rRNA from 1 species
GACGAACGCUGGCGGCGUGCCUAAUACAUGCAAGUCGAACGCUUCUUUCCUCCCGUGUGCUUGCACUCAAUUGGAAAGAGGAGUGGCGGACGGGUGAGUAACACGUGGGUAACCUACCCAUCAGAGGGGGAUAACACUUGGAAACAGGUGCUAAUACCGCAUAACAGUUUAUGCCGCAUGGCAUAAGAGUGAAAGGCGCUUUCGGGUGUCGCUGAUGGAUGGACUCGCGGUGCAUUAGCUAGUUGGUGUGGUAACGGCUCACCAAGGCCACGAUGCAUAGCCGACCUGAGAGGGUGAUCGGCCACACUGGGACUGAGACACGGCCCAGACUCCUACGGGAGGCAGCAGUAGGGAAUCUUCGGCAAUGGACGAAAGUCUGACCGAGCAACGCCGCGUGAGUGAAGAAGGUUUUCGGAUCGUAAAACUCUGUUGUUAGAGAAGAACAAGGACGUUAGUAACUGAACGUCCCCUGACGGUAUCUAACCAGAAAGCCACGGCUAACUACGUG